CCAUUAUGCCUGGCUAAUUUUUUUUUUUUUUCACUUUUAGGAGAGACAAGGUCUCGCUUGCUAAGGCUGGUCUCAAACCCCUGAGCUCAAGCCAUCCUUCAGCCUCAGCUGCCCAAAGAGCUGGGAUUACAGACGUAAGCCACUACAUCAGGCCCACGUGCAUUUUUAAUGGCUUCCAAACAUGGUGGGGAACGGAGGAUCAUUCUCUGACCUUCCUCAUAGACUCUAAUACCCCUGAGCCCUUCUAUUCUCUUAUUUUCCCCUGGGUGUAGGGAGGGCACCGCUCACCUCUCACGUGAUGGUUUUAUGACGUGCUUCAGGGGAGGGUGAGAAUAUUUCCUACACUGUAUGGAAAAGGAUGGGGGUGGUUACAGAGACUUUCCUGCACAUGCUUUUUUCUCAAAUUCUUUCAGCUUAGAAUAUUUUGGGCUAGCAUGUCCUGAGCCUCAUCGACACUGAUACUUUCCCUUGCUGGACCAUGUGCACCUUAUGAAAAAAAUCUGGUGUCUUCCAGGAAUUUCAGCAGGUAUGUAAAGAAAAUGGCAAGGACUGUCUGAGAACGUUUUUCCUUGCAUCCCAAAUCACACUAUGCUUGUGGCUGGUCCUGGAGUGCAACGAGGAGAUCUGGGAGGGGCUGGGAAUUAGUAAUAAGCCAUCUCUUUUGUGUGCUCCCCUGGGAUGUGGGAGCAGCUGGCUUGGACCCCUGCACAGUGGAAUUAUUGUACUUUCAGCCCAAGGACCUGAGCCGCCUGAGCUGGGAGGAGCUCUCAGAACAUCCACCGAGAGGCAGGCAUGUGCUACGUGCUGUCAGCUCUGGUGCUGCUGGGAAACAAGCCCAUGGAAACAGGUCUGGAGGCGUUCUUCGCCUGGAGUCACGGCGGUUUCCUGCUUCACCUGCGCUUGGUGGGAACCUGUGCUCCUCCCGCGCCCCGGCGGCUGGGAGCUCAGAGCCAGCGCUUCCACCUCCCCACGCGCGCUGGGACCUCCCAGAAACCCCCGGUCAACCUGGAGCUCCAACAUCCCACCUCUUACUGCUUUCACCGCCAUCACGUAGCCUCCAAGAACUUGGCCCCACACUUAUGUCAUCACUAAUCUCACGAGAGGGAGCACGCCCAGAACCUGAUGAGGCUGCAGAACCAACGAGGGGCGGAAUCUUCCUUCCAGAGCCAAGACACCAGGCGGAGAGCCGGCUGAACGAGAUGGAGUGCGCCUCACGCUUGGAAAAAUCGUGA
rnacentral:lncRNA from 1 species